UAGUGGCAGACGGGUGAGUAAUGUAUAGGAAUCUACCUAGUAGUACGGAAUAAUUGUUGGAAACGGCAACUAAUACCGUAUACGCCCUACGGGGGAAAAAUUUAUUGCUAUUAGAUGAGCCUAUAUUAGAUUAGCUAGUUGGUGGAGUAAUAGCCUACCAAGGCAAUGAUCUAUAGCUGAUCUGAGAGGAUGAUCAGCCACACUGGAACUGAGAUACGGUCCAGACUCCUACGGGAGGCAGCAGUGGGGAAUAUUGGACAAUGGGCGAAAGCCUGAUCCAGCCAUGCCGCAUGAGUGAAGAAGGCCUUUGGGUUGUAAAGCUCUUUUAGUGAGGAAGAUAAUGACGGUACUCACAGAAGAAGUCCUGGCUAACUCCGUGCCAGCAGCCGCGGUAAUACGGAGAGGGCUAGCGUUAUUCGGAAUUAUUGGGCGUAAAGGGCGCGUAGGCUGGUUAGUAAGUUAAAAGUGAAAUCCCGAGGCUUAACCUUGGAACUGCUUUUAAAACUGCUAACCUAGAGAUUGAAAGAGGAUAGAGGAAUUCCUAGUGUAGAGGUGAAAUUCGUAAAUAUUAGGAGGAACACCAGUGGCGAAGGCGUCUAUCUGGUUCAAAUCUGACGCUGAGGCGCGAAGGCGUGGGGAGCAAACAGGAUUAGAUACCCUGGUAGUCCACGCUGUAAACGAUGAAUGUUAAAUAUGGGAAGUUUACUUUCUGUAUUACAGCUAACGCGUUAAACAUUCCGCCUGGGGACUACGGUCGCAAGAUUAAAACUCAAAGGAAUUGACGGGGACCCGCACAAGCGGUGGAGCAUGUGGUUUAAUUCGAUGCAACGCGAAAAACCUUACCACUCCUUG
rnacentral:rRNA from 1 species